rnacentral:sRNA from 1 species
GUGUUGAAUUGGGAGCGUUAUGCAUGGUAGGCUUAACUCUACCGUUGAGGCACACCUCCAGCCCAAGUCUGUUUUUUGGGGGGUACAUUUGAAAGUAAAUUGAAGACAUCAUAUUGUUGCCCUCAAGCUGCUUUAUAGUGCUCAUGUCCAAGUAAAUUUCAGUAUUUCUUUCUAGAACUUUUCAUCUGGUGCAUGAUUUACGUGCAACAAGGGGUGUAGUUCUGGAAGGCACCUGAGUUUUGAUACAUCUAGGGACCGGUGUAACUCAGUCUUAAGAUAAAGAGCAUUGUACACAACAUUUAUUAUGAAAUAACAAGGUUAGAAUGGCGAAUGAUACUUGUAAGCUAAGCACCAGAUGACUGAAGCAGGAGGAGCCAGAAUUUAAAGACAUAUGAGACACUAUUACAAGUAGUGUGCACACGUGUAUGCACACACACACACACACACACGCACACACAUACAAACGUGUGCACAUGCACACACACAGACUUCUCCCAGCGAUGAGCUAUGAUCAUUGCUUUAAGAUACAGCAUUUGUUUUUGUUUGAUUUUUCGGGGAACAUUGUAGCCCAGGCUGUCUAGAAACUCCCUACAGACUCAAGGUUGGCCUCAAACUGUUGAUCUAGAACUUCUGGUAAUCCUCCUGCCCCUGGUGGAGUUAUAGGUGUAAGCCCCCACUUCAAACCGUCGCCCAGUCCCACUGAUAAUAUCUCUUACAUAUUGUCUGUUCAAAUUCAGUCAUUCCAGUAAGUUAUGAGGGAGGGACAGACAUCUCGCUGGCACAGACGACACCCCGUAGUUCUUAGAUCUCACUUGGAAGUGUGUCGCGUUGUCUAUGGGUCUGGCCUCAGCUGUCUGCGUACCGUUCUGAUGUUCCCCGGCAGACAGAUGGAGGUGCUCAGGGCAGUGCUCAUGCUCAGGCGAAUGCGCCUACAGCACACAGUGAGUGCAGAGGUCCUCCCUGCCUGGAUCCUUAGCGGGAACCCCACCACAUUGCUCAGCUCACUUCUGUGUCAGAAGAACCUCAGGACCAACUGCCAUUCCUCUCUCUUCCCAGAGUUCUCAGCAAGCUUAAGGUCCCCAGCUCAAAUGUCCAAAGAGGCCAAUUUCAAGGAAAAUGCAGAGUAAACGUCCUUGAGGACAAGGGCCUUUGUCUUCUACCAGCACUGCUGUUGUGGCUACUUUGGAUUCCUGCAGAACUGUGUGAAAAGGAGAGAGGCUUGGCUCUGAAGAAGGGGCUGCUUGGCCUCUGACGGCAACAGGAGGGCACUAAAGGCAUUCACGGGAGUGUCCAAGAAUCCCCAAGAGGCUGAAGUGAAAGGUGUUGCUAACAGGCUGCCCACUUCACCUCCCUGCCUUGGAGAUGCUGGGUCUUCCAAAGCAGGGGCUGCAGUUUGAUAGCGUCUACAGCAGCAGCUGUCGAGAGGACGAGAGGACGCCUCAGAGUCAGGUGAGCUGCUGUCUUGUGUGCCUGGCUUUCCUAACUUAGGCCCAUCCAGAUCGUACAGUAUGCCAGUGUUUCCCUCUUUCUUGGCAGAACAGUCUUCCUUAACAUGCUGUGCUUGUCCACAAAACAAGAUGCUUGUUUCCUUUCCUCUUUGGAAAGAAAACUAUUAUACUUACUGCUCCUGCGGAUGUUAGUAUGCACCUUUCUGUAUAAAUACUCUUUCUUCUUUGGACACUGUCCUAGGUGUGGGAGUCUGGAUCAUAUGGUAAUGAUGUCUAACCUUGUGCAGGACAGCUCAACUCUUUUCUUCAUCAUUUGUCCUUAGUUAAAAAUGGAAACUACUGACUUUAGCAUGUAGGAAAUGCUAGAUCUCUUACGCAGGCCUCUCACCACACAGUCCUUGUUCUCUUACAUCGUAGUCAAUAGUACCUGGAGAUUUGACACUGAAACCGGAGAGAACAGAGCCUCUCCGUUGCCUGUGCAGGACUGUUGAGUGAGUAGGACACUGGUCCAAGAGGCCUUAGGAAGACCUCACAAUGAGCAAGCCCUCUCCCAACAAAGAUAACCCUUGACCUCCAAGCAGAUCACGUCCUUUUCUAAAGAUUCUGUUUUAGAUUAUGUGUCUGUUGGGGGCAGGGGAGGGAUGUGCACACAGGUACCACGGAGUCCGGAAGGAGGUACCAGGUCCUUUGGAGCUGGAGUUACAGGCUACUGUGAGCCUUCUGAUACGGGUACUGGUAACUAAACUGAGAUCAGUAUGUGCUCUUAACAGCUGAGCCAUCUCUUCUGCCUUAAGGACUAGAUCUUAGACAUGUCUGUUCUCCUCGUCCCUAGUGCCUGACAGUGACCCUUUAGGACUUGAUUGAUGAGUAAAUUGAUAAAGGAAUGAGAGUGAAAAUCCAUUACAAGGAAAUGUGCUAGUGGGUGUUCAAUAAUUAGUGGAGGAUGAUGGGAGAAAUG